GAAGCCUGGAUCUAUGCGGGCUUCGCGGAAGACCGCUUCAAGGGUACAAAGGGGCGCUGCUGAGCACACUUCAGAGCGUUAAAAUGCUAAAUGGGACGGCCUACGGACUCGUAGACUCAGCGAGCACGCGCAAUUUAAGUCCACGAGACCGAAAGUCCGCAUGAAGUGCGCCAUUUGGGACAGGGCAGUACACUCUCCCGACCCCUAUUUCCCAUAAUCCAACGCGGAGACGCGGCAGUGUGCAAAAUAAAAUUGCAAAUGGCGGACGUAAACACCGGAGGCGGCAACUUUUACAAAUGCAUGGAUGAAGACGUAAAGCGUCUCAUAAUGAGCAGGAUGGCCAAUGGGCAUCUCUUCUCUGGGCGCAGGAACGCAGCCCUGUUUGGAUGGGAAACUGUUCUGAAAGGGGUUGCUUGGUGUGGUAACCCCUGCCAAAAAGUGGGAAAAAUUGAACCUACAAGAGCACAAGUUUGAGACCACUUAAGGGAGAUAAGGAAGCCACCCACCCCUCCUCAUGGACUACACCAGAUUUGACAGUUCUUGCUCCAAGGCACUUGCAAGUUCCCGGACAUUUCUGGGGGGAAUGGCCCUAACCCUCACCCUCCGUUCCAACAGGACUCAGACGUGCACAAUAGGAUUGAGAUCCAGGCUCUUCGCUGGCCAUGGCAGAACACUGACAUUCCUGUCUUGCAGGAAAUAACGCACAGAACGAGCAGUAUGACUGGUGGCAUUGUCAUGCUGGAGGGACAUGUCAGGAUGAGCCUGCAGGAAGGGUACCACAUGAGGGAGGAGGAUGUCUUCCCUGUAAUGCACAGCAUUGAGAUUGCCUGCAAUGAUAGCAAGCUCAGUCCGAUGAUGCUGUGACACACCGCCCUAGACCAUGACAGACCCUCCACCUCCAAAUCAAUCCAGAGUACAGGCCUCGGUGUAACACUCAUUCCUUCGACGAUGGACAGUGGAAUUUAUCUCUGCUCAUCUGCAGUCCUCUUGCCUUCAUGUAGCAUGCCUAAGACAUGUUCAUGCAGAUGAACAGGGACACUGGGCAUCUUUCUUUUGGUGUUUUUCAGAGUCAGUAGAAAGAUCUCUUUAGUGUCCUAAGUUUUUAUAACUGUGACCUUGCCAUUUGUAAGCUGUUAAGUGUCUUAAUGACCAUUCCACAGGUGGAAUUUGUUUAUGGUUCAUUGAACAAGCAUGGAAACAAUAAAGAUCUGUAAAGUUAUUUGGAUUUUUUCAAAAUUCUUUAAAAAUACAGUGUCCUGAAAAGGGGAUGUUUCUAUUUUUGCUGAGUUAAAAUAAAUAUAUAUAUUAUAUACACACACUCACACUAUAGUGUAAGGUAUUGUGUUAAAUGUGUAAUCCAUUCUUCUGGACAUUAAAUUGUUUUUUAUUUAUAUAAACAUAAGAUACACAAAUUAUCUACUGACAUCAGUGUAUUAACUUCAACUUUGAACACUAUAUUUUAUUAGCUUAUCUUAUGUAGACAAAAUA